rnacentral:rRNA from 1 species
GACGAACGCUGGCGGCGUGCUUAACACAUGCAAGUCGAGCGAUGAAGCACCUUCGGGUGUGAAUUAGCGGCGAACGGGUGAGGAACACGUGAAGAAUCUGCCUUCAACUCUGGGAUAACUCCGGGAAACCGGGGCUAAUACCGGAUAUGAGCCUUGAUCGCAUGAUCGGGGCUGGAAAGUUUUUCGGUUGAAGAUGACUUCGCGGCCUAUCAGCUUGUUGGUGAGGUAAUGGCUCACCAAGGCGACGACGGGUAGCCGGCCUGAGAGGGCGACCGGCCACACUGGGACUGAGACACGGCCCAGACUCCUACGGGAGGCAGCAGUGGGGAAUAUUGGGCAAUGGAGGAAACUCUGACCCAGCGACGCCGCGUGAGGGAUGAAGGCCUUCGGGUUGUAAACCUCUUUCAGUAGGGAAGAAGCGAAAGUGACGGUACCUACAGAAGAAGCACCGGCUAACUAUGUGCA